GCCGGGCGUGGUGGUGCACGCCUGUAAUCCCAGCUACUCGGGAGGUUGAGGCAGGAGAAUCGUUUGAACCCGGGAGACAUAGGGUGCAGUGAGCUGAGAUCGCACCACUGCACUCUGGCCUGGACAACAGAGCAAGACUCUGCCUCAA
rnacentral:sRNA from 1 species